UGGUGAGGAUCUCUCCUUGUAGAAGGGGAUAAUUGGAUGUCUCCAACUUGAUGGACUUUCGGGUUGUACUAGAGCAUUGUCUCCUUUGAGUUGGUCCUUAAGUAGAUUUUGUCUUGCUGCCCCCCCCCCCCAACUGAGCUGUAUUUUGAAUCUUAAUUAAACUCAGAAAGUUAAGGGUGAUCCUGGAAGACAGAAGAAAGCUUCUGAGAAAAUGUCGGAGUAAAACACUAGGGGUUUGUGAAAUCUUUGUUUUCACAGUUAAGAUUUGUAGCCCGAUGUUACCAUUGACUGGAUUCCACUGUCUAGAUCAGGGGCCCUUUGGCUAAAUCUGACCCACCUCCUGAUUUUGUGAAUAAGAUUUUGUUGAAGGACAGCCAUGCUCAUUUGUUUCCGUAUUGUCUAUAGCUGUUUUUGUGUUACCAGCAACUUGAGUAGUUGCCCUGCAAAGCCUAAACUAUUUACUAUCUGUCCCUUUACAGAAAAAGUUUGCCAACACCUGGACUAGAUGAUUAACCCUUUUCAAACUUUCUGAACCCGAAGAACUUUAUAAUUGAAAGCUGUAGCUUGUGGACCUCUCUCUCUGUGGAGAUCAGCAUCUCAGUAUCCAGGGGGAAGCCAUCUCUUCACCCAAAGCUUCUACUAGAGACCAAGCGGCCCGGACCCCGCAGUGCAGACUGCUAAGCAGUAGAGUCCAGGGAGGAUUCGUUUCCGUUUGUGUUCACCUAGCGCUCAGCAGGGAGGGGCCGGCGGUUUACCGCUCUCUGGUGUUAGCAGCUGGAUGGCUCUGAUUUGGUAAAAACAAAUGGAAAUGGCUUUGACAUGGUGACUGUUAAAUAGAGAGCUUACUUUGAAGGCUCAAGGGAUGGAAUUUUUAGGUGGAGGAAUUUUCCACAACAGAAAAUCCCCUAGGUUCUUUUCUAGACUCCACCAGUCAUUCUAGCUAUAAAAUGUUAUGAUAUGUUGUCUUCUAGACUCCUCAGGCUGAAGUUGGCUCGUCAAAGGCAGGAUUCUCACAUGGGUUCUAAUGAGGGGUUACGGUGAAUGGUGCCUAAAUGUGGGACAGCACCACCCCUUUUCAUUGUCCUCUGUCAGUGGGGGCAUUUGUUGGAACUCAUGCAGAUGGUUGCAGUGAGCAAGAGAGAUUUAUUAUUGUCAUUUUUAAGAAAUGGAAUCCAGAUUUUGUGAAACAGUCUCAUACAUUUAAAAACUAUUAACAAGUAUGAGCAAAUUAGAUAUUUUUAGUCUAAUAUUCAGUGGUAAUGGUGAUAAAACUUUCUUAACUUCCAGUCUUAAACCAGCUAGUGGUUAAAAUUAGAUUUUUAAGUCCCUUUCAGAGUUGAGUCAGGAUGAAAAGUUCCUUUCACCUUUUGAAACAUCAUGAUGCUGGGCAUGUAACAAACGUUGUGACUUUAAAUCUAGAAUACCUGGCCCGGUUUUGAUUUUUAAGCCAGAGGACCCAUUACCAAGAACAAAAUUGCUUUUUCUCCUGAACACAUACAGCUGGCCACCUUGGUAUGUACCAGUAAAAUGUAUUUCAGGAAUGACCUUCAAUUUUCUGUCAAUAUUUAUAUUAUAUAAUCACCUCCCUAAGGUUUAUUACAAGGAUUCAUAUAUAUAUAUAUAUAUAUAUAUAUAUAUAUAUAUAUAUAUAUAUAAAUUUUGAGAUAUGAAAAGUACAUUCUCAAGCUAUCAGAGUCAUCCCUAAAUUUGUUCUCCUUGAAACAAAAAUGAAAGUGUCAUAUUCCCAUGCAGGGAAUCCCCCAAAUGUUACUAAAGUAUAAUGUUAAAACUACUUGUUUUUUAAAACUUGGGGUCUUGUUCCUGAAAUCAUGUGUUGAAAUUACAGUUAAGGAUAGUUGCCAUUUUAUUUUACCCUACAAAAACAUCACCAUGGUCAAUUCAGAUCUUGUAUAAAUUUGAAAUUGUACCAGUUCUACAGUAAUAUAAGAAAAUGACUUUUUCCUUCAUGUAGAAAAGUAUAUCAUUCUUAAGAUUUUAAAUCCAUGCUUCCCAGUUAUGAAAUACACUACCUUCCUGUAAAGGAAAACAUACUCAUGUGGGAUCACUACACUUGGGGUCCUGGAAUGCCUGAUUACCAUUUCCUCUCUGAUUGCUGACAAGACUUACACUAGUGGGAUCUUGGAGCUCCUUUUUAAGAACCUGGUGCUCAUUAAGUAGAGGAAAAAAUUCUAAAAAUAAUCUAACCUUUUGGGAACUUCAACUCCCAUUUUAAUUAAAAACAUUUGUGACACCUUCACUCUUAUUCUAAAAUAUACCAUAUAUUGUAGGUACAGUGAUUUUGAAACUAUUUUGUUCUGAGAAACUUUAGAUUUUAAUGACAAUAUUGGAAAAACUCCUGGAAUGACAUUACAUUAAAAUUGAGAAUUAGUACUUUAGGAAUUAAACAACCAUUUUAUAUUUAAAUAUUCAUGGACAGCGAACAUCUGUUGCAUUGCAUGAUCAAAAUAUGAGAUUUCAGAUAUCUUAAGAGACCAAUUUGAAACAUUGUAAUGAGCCUCAUAUCAUAAAUCGGCAAACCCAGUGAAAAACUAUUAAAAUAUAUAUAUAUAUAUAUACAUGUAUAAACUUGAUUAGAUCUCAACUGAAACUUUUGUCACUUGAGGUCACCAGUUGAAUUUCUUACACGGAUAUAAGUUUAGGUUUUAGUCUGCCCUGUUUUAGUGCCAGCGUAACAAAUGAGGGCCAUACAGGCUAUUGUUCAAUGACAAAAUGGUUCAAACUCAUGAUUUAAAAUAAUGUUUAAAAAUAUGGUUUCUACCCUAGUCAAGAACUUGUAGUGUUACGUAAGACUUGAAAAUUUGAAAAUUAUUUUAUGUAACACCCUAUUAAACUAAUUUGAUCUUUUGCUUUUACAUGAUAGAGUGAUAGAGUUAGAAUCUUAAUGAAAGUGUCCUAUGUAUUUUCUGUAAAUUAUCCUAAAAGCAGUGAAAUGUCUCCAUACAUUUAUGUAUUUUCUCCACUAGAGGGCUCUGUUGCCCUUUGAUAUAAUUGAACAAAGAGGUGGCUUUGCAAUAUAGUGUUCUUCUUAGCCAGUCUUGCUUUCGUAUUUGUUAAAUUAUGACUUACUUUUCUAAUGCAUCUUUUAGGUCUUAUGCUUUUCAGUGAUAGGAUUCGAACUGAAGACUGUUGCUGGUGUAAUGUUCAUUUCCUUUUCUUUUUUUUCCCUCUUUCUUUUUGUUUUGUUUACAUAAAAUGCCAAGGAUGAAGAGAUCCAUUUAAUGAAAAGGUCCAUUGUAUUCAGGGAUCAGUCUGCUCUGCCAAAUUACACAAGAGCAUGUGUUUUCAUGACGUUAUUGGUUUUGAGUGUGGUGUCCUAUCAAUAAUGUAAUUUUUUUCUUCCUAAGUGGAAAUUGUAAUAUUUAAAUAUUAAUGCCUGUUUAAGGUUUAUUUAGAAACGCCUUUGUGACCUUCUAUGUUUUCAUGAGAACAUACUCUCUCCCUUGCCUCCUGCUACCCUAGCCUUUCCCAGUGUUAUAUAGUUUAUUGUAAGUAGAUUGUUUAUUAAUGAUAUAUUCUUCUAGGAGAAAAUGUGUUCUUUUGGUCUCCCUGUACGUUUCUUAAAUAAGAGUGACCCUCUUAAACCAAACACUGAAUAUGAAGCAGAUAGCUGGUACUCUACAUGUACAAAGUCUUUUAAAGGAGGGUUAAUUUUAAUUUUGGCUCUGUAACUAAAGUUUGAGGCAACCCAUUAAUUGAGGGCUUUAGCUCUCAAACAGAAAUUUGGCUCAGAAAAGAAAACAUUUUUAGCUUUAUAAAAUUGCUUAUUUUCAAAUUUUAAAAGGGGGCAAAAUGAAUAUGCUACAGUAUAUACUUUGUUUAUAUGAUGCUUUUUCUUUUUUUGAAAAUGAGUCUGAAAACAUGGUGAAUAUACUUGUAACAUUGCAAAAAUAUUCUAUCAAAGUGACAAUGCUCUGGUCAGUUUGUAUACAGAUGUGGCCAUUGUUUAUCAAAUAAAUUGUUAAAACCAGA